AACGAACGCUGGCGGCAGGCCUAAUACAUGCAAGUCGAACGCACCGCAAGGUGAGUGGCAGACGGGUGAGUAACGCGUGGGAACCUUCCUAGUAGUACGGAAUAACUCCGGGAAACCGGUGCUAAUACCGUAUAAGCCCUCCGGGGGAAAGAUUUAUCGCUACUAGAUGGGCCCGCGUCGGAUUAGCUUGUUGGUGAGGUAAUGGCUCACCAAGGCUUCGAUCCGUAGCUGGUCUGAGAGGAUGAUCAGCCACACUGGGACUGAGACACGGCCCAGACUCCUACGGGAGGCAGCAGUAGGGAAUAUUGGACAAUGGGCGAAAGCCUGAUCCAGCCAUGCCGCGUGAGCGAUGAAGGCCUU
rnacentral:rRNA from 1 species